UCUCCGUUGGUGAACCAGCGGAGGGAUCAUUACCGAGUUUACAACUCCCAAACCCAAUGUGAACCAUACCAAACUGUUGCCUCGGCGGGGUCACGCCCCGGGUGCGUCGCAGCCCCGGAACCAGGCGCCCGCCGGAGGGACCAACCAAACUCUUUCUGUAGUCCCCUCGCGACGUUAUUUUUACAGCUCUGAGCAAAAAUUCAAAAUGAAUCAAAACUUUCAACAACGGAUCUCUUGGUUCUG
rnacentral:misc_RNA from 1 species